rnacentral:rRNA from 1 species
ACUCAAAGGAAUUGACGGGGACCCGCACAAGCGGUGGAUGAUGUGGAUUAAUUCGAUGCAACGCGAAAAACCUUACCUACGCUUGACAUGCCAGGAACUUUCCAGAGAUGGAUUGGUGCCCGAAAGGGAACCUGGACACAGGUGCUGCAUGGCUGUCGUCAGCUCGUGUCGUGAGAUGUUGGGUUAAGUCCCGCAACGAGCGCAACCCUUAUCCUUAGUUGCUACGCAAGGGCACUCUAGGGAGACUGCCGGUGACAAACCGGAGGAAGGUGGGGAUGACGUCAAGUCCUCAUGGCCCUUAUGUGUAGGGCUUCACACGUCAUACAAUGGUCGGUACAGAGGGUCGCCAACCCGCGAGGGGGAGCCAAUCCCAGAAAACCGAUCGUAGUCCGGAUUGCACUCUGCAACUCGAGUGCAUGAAGUCGGAAUCGCUAGUAAUCGCGGAUCAGCAUGUCGCGGUGAAUACGUUCCCGGGUCUUGUACACACCGCCCGU